UGGUCCCUACGGGAGGCAGCAGUGGGGAAUAUUGGGCAAUGGGCGCAAGCCUGACCCAGCAACGCCGCGUGAAGGAAGAAUGCUUUCGGGUUGUAAACCUCUUUUCUCAGGGACGAAGAAAGUGACGGUACCUGAGGAAUAAGCCACGGCUAACUACGUGCCAGCAGCCGCGGUAAUACGUAGGUGGCAAGCGUUAUCCGGAUUUAUUGGGUGUAAAGGGCGUGUAGGCGGGAGCGCAAGUCAGAUGUGAAUACUCAUGGCUCAUCCCUGAGCCUGCAUUUGACACUGUGUUUCUUGGGUGCUGG
rnacentral:rRNA from 1 species